UAGCUCGUCAUGCUAGAGCACUAGAGCACUUUUUCAAUGGGCUCCCCAACGACAAGGCGACGACGCAUUCGUAUGUCAUCCAUAUCAACUUUUGAUGCCAUUUACUGCGCCUACCAUGUUGACCACGGGUAACGGGGAAUCAAGGUUCAAUUCCUGAGAGGGAGCCUGGGAAAUGGCUACCACAUGCAAGGAAGGCAGCGGGCGCGCAAAUGACCCACUCCCGACACGGGAAGGUAGUGA